GGGGGUGUGGUGCAGUGGUAGCACGUUUGCUUUGCAUGCAAAAGGUCCUGGGUUCAAUCCCCAGCUCCUCCA